rnacentral:piRNA from 1 species
UCGUAGUACGAUCAAUCACCA